rnacentral:rRNA from 1 species
AGCGAACGCUGGCGGCAGGCUUAACACAUGCAAGUCGAGCGGGCCCUUCGGGGUCAGCGGCGGACGGGUGAGUAACGCGUGGGAACGUGCCUUCUGGUCUGGAAUAACCCUGGGAAACUAGGGCUAAUACCGGAUACGCCCUUUUGGGGAAAGGUUUACUGCCGGAAGAUCGGCCCGCGUCUGAUUAGCUAGUUGGUGGGGUAACGGCCUACCAAGGCGGCGAUCAGUAGCUGGUCUGAGAGGAUGAUCAGCCACACUGGGACUGAGACACGGCCCAGACUCCUACGGGAGGCAGCAGUGGGGAAUAUUGGACAAUGGGCGCAAGCCUGAUCCAGCCAUGCCGCGUGAGUGAUGAAGGCCUUAGGGUUGUAAAGCUCUUUUAUCCGGGACGAUAAUGACGGUACCGGAGGAAUAAGCCCCGGCUAACUUCGUG